GGAUCAAAUAAGGAGUUGAAAAACCCCUAGGUUUCACUCACUUGCACCCACCUAUCUUCCGAAAACCUCCCGAACCCUCUCACAACUUCGAUCAUCUCUCGCCUUCUCCAUCACUGCCGACGUCCCUCAUUCUCUUCCUCUACUCGAUUGGGAGAGGACAGGCUCCCUCUUCCGCCUCCAUCUCAUCUACUGCCGACGCUAACGCACACAAUAGGAGCUUCAUCCCAGAAUCCGCAGGCCAUCUCAUCUCCUCUACCAUCUUCCUCGCCGUUGACGGUAAGGUCUUCUCACAGAGCUUCCAGAUCUGAAAGCCAUCUCACGGUGCCUUCAUCUUUAGCCCACAACUUCUUCCAAUUGGGAGAGGCGCCACCACCGAACUCUACAUCACCCUCCUGAUUAGUAGAGGUUUCUUCGCCACCACUAGUUUCCUUCCACCUCUCCAUUUCAGAUUUGAAGAGUAAAGCUUCAUCACUAGCCAGCAACCCCUCUCCUCUUCGGAUUUGAAGAGGAGAGUUCAUUCAUCCUUCAACAACCCCUUUAUCUUCAGAUUCGAAGAGAAGGUUUCAUUCUCCAUCGACGAGCAGCCAUCCACUUCGUCCAUAGCCUUCGCUGGUAGAUUGGCCGUCAGUGAAGCUCCAUCCAGCAGCCCCCUCUCCACUUCGGAUUCUAAGAGGAGAGUUCUAUUCCGAUCCAUGUCUAUGACAUUGGGUUAUUUCUAUAUAUGUUGAAUUGUGUUAUUCUUGUUGAUUGUUGAAUUGUAACGUAGCUAUUCUCCCAUGUUUAAAAUUGCAUGUAAUUUUGCUUAAUUGAAUUCUCGCUCGUUAUGUGUUUGAUGAAACGCCUCUUUCAUUAGUUAGUUUCUAAACUUGCAUCUUCUUUGGUUUGAAUUCUUGUGAUGAUUAGUUAGUUGAAUGUUUUAGGUUAGAUUAGAUUAGAUUAGUUGAAUUUUGACAAAUUUAUUCAUGUGGAAGUUUAUUUCUAAUAUUUCCUAAAUUUUUGAAUACUCAAAAAUAGAUUGAAGAGGAAUGAAAAUGCUCAAAAAUAGAUGUGGGGAAUGUGCUCGACGAGGUCACAUUUUGACACUCAAGUCAAAAAAAUGAACAUUAGGGACUUAGUGCAUACCUAAACUUCAUUGGCCGUGGUGCCUUUCAUUGGCUAGAUUGUCCAAUUUUCAACUGCUGAAAGUGUUGGACUUCAUCGGACAGUCUUAACAAGUAUCUGUUUCAUGUUGGUUGGAGCACAACUAAAAAUGAUGGUUCUGCUGUGCCAUCUAGGUUAUCAAUGGUUUGUUUUUUUCAUUGCCUAUGUGUGAUUUUGAUCAAGAGUUCUGAUAUUUGUGUUCGAGAGAGGAUUUUGAACAUUAUUUCUGACCAAAAUACUCUAGUCAUCAAGCUGUACACAGUGAGUUCUUCUUAUAUCCACAUAGAUUUACAUGGUCCAAAUAUAUCUAUUGACGUGCAAACAUAGUCUAUUUCUUGAAGCUUGAUCUCUUCAUAUAUAUGCCUCUUGCAUGGAAUAAUGUUUUUAGAUAUUCAUAUGUAAAUUUUCUGGUCAUUGCAUAUCAUAGCAACCAAUGCUGAUGCACAAGAAGUCAAAAACAAUUUCAUUUUAUCAAAUUGGACUUGUAAAAGAAAUAGGGAUCUAUGGCUGCAUCAAUUUUCGACCUUUUAGUUAGCUUGCUAGAUUUGAAGUCCUCAAUUGUUUUUUCCCAGAAUCUACCAAUAAUUUGAGGAGCAGAUCUAGUGGAACAAAUCAAACUGCCCUCUUUGUUUAGCAAUUGUUUCCUCGAUCUUACUUAGCAGAUCUAUUGGAAUGAAUUAUGCUGCCCUUUUGGUUUAACAAUUAUUUCCUUGAUCUGACUAUUCUUGGAUCGGUUGGACCGACUAGAGGGGGUGAAUAACCCUGUAAAGUAGAAUUAUGAAUCUUCUCUUGCUUGUCGAGAACCAGUUGACAAUUGCCACUCUUUUGAAUACUCAUUAUACUGAUCUCUCAUAUGUUAGGGAAACUAAGCAUUGACCUCCAGCUUAAUCGAUUCCUUGUAGCAUUUCAUCACACUUUCCUAACAAGCUCCAAUAUCUUUGAGUGAUUGGUAAGGAUGUUGGAUAUGUAUCUGUGAGAAAAAAGAGUUCUUUAAUGAAUCCAAACUAACGUGUUGCUUAAGUAUUUUUACCUUAAUCUUUUUGAUCUUUCACCGAUCUAUGUUUGUUUUCUUUGAUACACAGGUUUGUUCUGCCUUGGUGCAACUUAUAGAAGUUCGACCAUCAUUCCUAGAGUGCCUUUUCAGAUAUUUUAAAGGUGAAUGGAGGUAUUCAAAAACUCCAGCUAAAUAGCUUGGGUAUGGAUGAUUACAGGAGCAACAACUACAUACUAUGUGGCAUUGCAUCCGAACCUCAUGGGUGUGACUGGGAAGUACUUCGACGAAGAACUAUCAAGAAGGCUUUGGGAUUUAAGUGAGAAUAUGGUUAAAGUCAAUAAGUAAAGAACAUUCAAGUCAAGAGGAUAAGUAGCAUCUAUAAAGAUCCUUUAAGUUCAUGCAAUAAGAUGUAGACGAUAGAAGUAGUUUUCAGUGUUUCCUAAUUAAAAUUUCUUUGUAUGCAAGUAAUUAUGCUUGUUAUAAAGUGUAUGGAUGAUAAUUUAUAUAUUUAUCUUGGUUGUUUA